rnacentral:rRNA from 1 species
AUUGAACGCUGGCGGCAGGCCUAACACAUGCAAGUCGAACGAGUGGCGGACGGGUGAGUAAUGUCUGGGAAACUGCCUGAUGGAGGGGGAUAACUACUGGAAACGGUAGCUAAUACCGCAUACCAUCAGAUGUGCCCAGAUGGGAUUAGCUAGUUGGUGGGGUAACGGCUCACCAGGGCGGCGAUCCCUCGCUGGUCUGAGAGGAUGACCAGCCACAUGGGAACGGAGACACGGUCCAGACUCCUACGGGAGGCAGUAGUGGGGAAUAUUGCGCAAUGGGCGCAAGCCUGAUGCAGCCAUGCCGCGUGUAUGAAGAAGGCCUUCGGGGUGUAAAGUACUUUCAGCGGGGAGGCGUUACCCGCAGAAGAAGCACCGGCUAACUCCGUGCCAGCCGCCGCGGUAAUUC